rnacentral:tRNA from 2 species
GCGCCCAUAGCUCAACUGGAUAGAGCGUCUGGCUACGGACCAGAAGGUUGGGGGUUCAAGUCCUCCUGGGCGUA